rfam:Ornithorhynchus anatinus chromosome X5, whole genome shotgun sequence.
AGCAGUGGGGCCUAGUGGAAAGAGCAUUGGCCUGGGAGGCAGAGGACCUGGGUUCUAAUCCCAACUCUGCCA